rnacentral:rRNA from 1 species
AUUGAACGCUGGCGGCAGGCCUAACACAUGCAAGUCGAGCGGAUGAGAGGAGAUUGCUCCUCGAUUCAGCGGCGGACGGGUGAGUAAUGCCUAGGAAUCUGCCUAGUAGUGGGGGACAACGUUUCGAAAGGAACGCUAAUACCGCAUACGUCCUACGGGAGAAAGUGGGGGAUCUUCGGACCUCACGCUAUUAGAUGAGCCUAGGUCGGAUUAGCUAGUUGGUAGGGUAACGGCCUACCAAGGCGACGAUCCGUAACUGGUCUGAGAGGAUGAUCAGUCACACUGGAACUGAGACACGGUCCAGACUCCUACGGGAGGCAGCAGUGGGGAAUAUUGGACAAUGGGCGAAAGCCUGAUCCAGCCAUGCCGCGUGUGUGAAGAAGGCCCUCGGGUCGUAAAGCACUUUAAGUUGGGAGGAAGGGCUUACAGCGAAUACCUGUGAGUUUUGACGUUACCGACAGAAUAAGCACCGGCUAACUUCGUGCCAGCAGCCGUCGUAA